GAUGAACGCUGGCGGCGUGCCUAAUACAUGCAAGUCGAGCGAACAGACGAGGAGCUUGCUCCUCUGACGUUAGCGGCGGACGGGUGAGUAACACGUGGAUAACCUACCUAUAAGACUGGGAUAACUUCGGGAAACCGGAGCUAAUACCGGAUAAUAUAUUGAACCGCAUGGUUCAAUAGUGAAAGACGGUUUUGCUGUCACUUAUAGAUGGAUCCGCGCCGCAUUAGCUAGUUGGUAAGGUAACGGCUUACCAAGGCAACGACGCGUAGCCGACCUGAGAGGGUGAUCGGCCACACUGGAACUGAGACACGGUCCAGACUCCUACGAGAGGCAGCAGUAGGGAAUCUUCCGCAAUGGGCGAAAGCCUGGCGGAGCAACGCCGCGUGAGUGAUGAAGGUCUUCGGAUCGUAAAACUCUGUUAUUAGGGAAGAACAAAUGUGUAAGUAACUAUGCACGUCUUGACGGUACCUAAUCAGAAAGCCACGGCUAACUACGUG
rnacentral:rRNA from 1 species